GCAAGUGAUCUAAGAGACAGAUCCAAAACCCUAGACAGAAGUCACACAGUCUUUUAUAACCCAAGCUCAGAAGUGAUAUACUAUCACCUGUGCCAUAUAGAUGGCCCCUGGAACCAUGUGGAAGGGGACUACAUAAGUGUGUCACCAUCAAGAGGUAGAGAUGAUUGUGGGCCUGUUUGAGGGGUAUCGCAGUGAUGUGUUCUAGAAAGCAGUGAGGAACCGAACUGAAAAGAAGAGAAACUGAAAGUAGGGAAGGCGAUGAAGAAGUUAUCAAGAAUGACCAAGUGAGAAGUGGUGAAGGCUUGAAGUAAGGCAACACCAUGGGAACGGAUGGAAGAGGACCAUGGGCUAUGAAAGAGGUGACAAUGAAUGAAACCUAAUGCGUAGAUUGUGAGGACACAGGAGGAGGUAGCACGUGUGACUUGGGUUUUCUUGGCUUCAGUAACCGGUUGGAUGGAGGAGCUAUUAACUGUUAACCAGGUGCAUGAGGAGUAGCUGGCCAAGGAAAGAGAGGGCAAAUUGGUACCCUUUCACAAUUCAUACUGUGCCAUCAAUAAGCAAUUGAUUAAACACAUCCGGAGCUUAGGAGAUAAAUAUCUGUGGGGAAUUUUGGAAGUUCUCAUUGUGAGGAUGGUGAUGUAGAUGAUGGCAAAGGGAGGAGAAAGAAACAGAAGGAGAAUGAGAAGAAAAGAGAAGCAGAAGGGAAGGGGAAGAGGGAAGAUGUCUGAACUUUUAUAUGAUUUGUUACAAUUAACCACUUCAAUACGUUCUUUGGGUAAACUACUAUGGCUACUGGAGCCAUAUGGUUAUUAAAUCAAAAUAAAAAUCUACACUGA